rnacentral:rRNA from 1 species
GAUGAACGCUGGCGGCGUGCCUAAUACAUGCAAGUCGAGCGAACAGACGAGGAGCUUGCUCCUCUGACGUUAGCGGCGGACGGGUGAGUAACACGUGGAUAACCUACCUAUAAGACUGGGAUAACUUCGGGAAACCGGAGCUAAUACCGGAUAAUAUAUUGAACCGCAUGGUUCAAUAGUGAAAGACGGUUUUGCUGUCACUUAUAGAUGGAUCCGCGCCGCAUUAGCUAGUUGGUAAGGUAACGGCUUACCAAGGCAACGAUGCGUAGCCGACCUGAGAGGGUGAUAGGCCACACUGGAACUGAGACACGGUCCAGACGACUAAGGGAGGCAGCAGUAGGGAAUCUGACGCAAUGGGCGAAAGCCUGACGGAGCAACGCCGCGUGAGUGAUGAAGGUCUUCGGAUCGUAAAACUCUGUUAUUAGGGAAGAACAAAUGUGUAAGUAACUAUGCACGUCUUGACGGUAACUAAUCAGAAAGCAACGGCUAACUACGUG